GCCUGACCUUUUAUUUAUUAUCUAAAGUAUUCUAGGUGAAACUACUGGCUGAGUAACGUGAGCUCUUUCUUAGGUACUUACAUAAUGGCUGACACCAAUAAUGAUAAUUAUAACCGUCCCGUAUCACCGUCAAUUUUACAACCGCACCCGCGGAAACGAAAGAAUGAAACAUCUGAUAGCAGUGAAGCGAUGAUUGGCACAGCAAAGAAGAAAUUGAACGUUGCGUACAUUGAAGGAGUAAAUACUGGCCUACAUGAUUGUACCUGUCUUCGAAAUGAAAAGGCAUUAACUUUUCGUUUUCUCAUAAACGGAAUUCCAGAUAAAAAAAUAGAAAUAUUUUGGGAUGAAGUAUUAAAUGUCGUGCAAAAGUAUUCAUCUGAAUAAUUGUACAUACCUAUAGAUACGAAAUUUCGGAUAUAAUAUAUUA